rnacentral:tRNA from 1 species
GGGGGUGAGGCUGUGGUUCAGUGGAAGAGCCUCUGCUUUGUGAGCAGAAAGUCACAGGUUCAAUCCCCGGCAUCUCCA